CACGUAGGGGCCAAGCGUUGUCCGGAUUCAUUGGGCGUAAAGAGCUCGUAGGCGGUUCAGUUAGUCGGGUGUGAAAUCUCCGGGCUCAACCCGGAGGGGCCACCCGAUACUGCUGUGACUUGAGUCCGGUAGGGGAGUGGGGAAUUCCUGGUGUAGCGGUGAAAUGCGCAGAUAUCAGGAGGAACACCGGUGGCGAAGGCAGCACUCUGGGACGUGACUGACGCUGAGACGCGAAAGCGUGGGGAGCAAACAGG
rnacentral:rRNA from 1 species